GCGGUCCCCGAUGCCCCCCGGAGCUCUGUGCACCUCCACUGAAACGCAAGGAGCAGACAGAACCUACACCAUCCGUGAGGUCUUUUUCAGAGGAAGGAGACUAUUGCUGGCUUCAGUAAUCCUAAAUAGUCCUAUGAAAGGACUGUGUCCUAUGAAAGACAGAGUAUACAUUCAGGGACCCCGAACGGAGGGACCAGCUGGAGCCGCGGAAGAGGAACAUAAAUUGUGAAAAUUUCAUGGAUAUUUAUCAGUUCCCAAAUAAUACUUUUAUAAUUUCUUAUGCCUGUCUUUACUUUAAUCUCUUAAUCCUGUUAUCUUCGUAAGCUGAGGAUGUACGUCACCUCAGGACCACUGUGAUAAUUGUGUUAACUGUACAAACUGAUUGUAAAACAUGUGUGUUUGAACAAUAUGAAAUCAGUGCACCUUGAAAAAGAACAGAAUAACAGUGAUUUUUAGGGAACAAGGGAAGACAACCAUAAGGUCUGACUGCCUGCGGCAUCGGGCAAAAAGAGCCAUAUUUUUCUUCUUGCAGAGAGCCUAUAAACGGAUGUCCAAGUAGGCGAGAUAUUGCUAAAUUCUUUUCCUAGCGAGGAAUAUUAAUAUUAAUACCCUGGGAAAGGAAUGCAUUCCUGGGGGGAGGUCUAUAAACGGCCACUCUGGGAACGUCUGUCUUAUGCAGUUGAGAUAAGGAGUGAGAUACGCUCUGGUCUCCUGCAGUGCCCUCAGGCUUACUAGGGUGGGGAAAAACUCCACC
ensembl:lncRNA HSDL2-AS1 HSDL2 antisense RNA 1